rnacentral:rRNA from 1 species
UACAGAGGGUGCAAGCGUUGUUCGGAAUUACUGGGCGUAAAGGGCGCGUAGGCGGCCUUCUAAGUCGGACGUGAAAUCCCCGGGCUCAACCCGGGAACUGCGUCCGAUACUGGAAGGCUUGAAUCCGGGAGAGGGAUGCGGAAUUCCAGGUGUAGCGGUGAAAUGCGUAGAUAUCAGGAGGAACACCGGUGGCGAAGGCGGCUAUCUGGACAGAAACUGACGCUGAGGCGCGAAAGCUAGGGGAGCAAACAGG